rnacentral:rRNA from 1 species
GAUCCUGGCUCAGGAUGAACGCUGGCGGCGCGCCUAACACAUGCAAGUCAAACGAGUAAGACGCCUUCGGGCGUGGAUAGAGUGGCGAACGGGUGAGUAACACGUGACCAACCUGCCCCCUCCUCCGGGACAACCUCGGGAAACCGAGGCUAAUACCGGAUACUCCGGGCACCCCGCAUGGGAUGCCCGGGAAAGCCCUGGCGGGAGGGGAUGGGGUCGCGGCCCAUCAGGUAGACGGCGGGGUAACGGCCCACCGUGCCUGCAACGGGUAGCCGGG